rnacentral:rRNA from 1 species
CACGUAGGGCGCAAGCGUUGUCCGGAAUUAUUGGGCGUAAAGAGCUCGUAGGCGGUCUGUUGCGUCCGCUGUGAAAACUCGGGGCUUAACCCCGAGCCUGCAGUGGGUACGGGCAGACUAGAGUGUGGUAGGGGAGACUGGAAUUCCAGGUGUAGCGGUGAAAUGCGUAGAUAUCUGGAGGAACACCGGUGGCGAAGGCGGCAUUCUGGACCGAUAUUGACGCUGAGGAGCGAAAGCCAGGGGAGCAAAGCGGG